AAAAGCCAAACUAUCUGUGCACUAUAAUUUAAGAUUGGCCGACCUGACUACAGAGUCAAAGCCUUGGCACUUUUUGUCACUUCCAGGAAUGCUUCCCUGUACCAUCGAGAUCUUCUUUCUGGUCUUUACAUAUUCCAAGUACUAGAAACACAUAUUCACAUAAGCUAAAUAAAAAAGCAUAUGGAUAUUUGAAACUACAGGUGGAAAAGGUGUCUAUUUUAUUUAAAUCUGGCAAAAAAAGAGUUAAUGUCUGAUGAAUCCUUUGUGCUAGUAAGCUUUUGGACUGUGCCACUAUUCCUGCCAGCCCAGGUGGAGCUCUUCAGGUGCUGUUUCUGUUUAUAACAAGGAACAUCAUUCUUUUCCUUUGUGCCAGGAAGAAAUUUGAGAAGAUCAGUGAAAAGAAUUACAAAUAGCAUGAAGUGCUGGCUUGAUACUAGUCAGAGACUCCUUACUAACAGCAAAAGUCUCUUGAUCCCUCCUUUCAGAGAACAUGGAACAGUCAGUUACUAGUUUGCAGAAACAUAUUAUUCAGAAACUCUUCUGUUCUUGGAGAAAAGUUGGAGCAAGGAAAGCAGUCAGGAAUGAAUGUUUCUGUACACCAGUCUUACAGACAAAAUACAUCCCAAUUCAUACUAAAUGCUGGAGAAUUGGUAGCAUCCUUACCACUCAAGAGAAUGUCUCUUAAAAUGCUGGUCCAAACUUCAGCACAUCCAUGAAGGAGAAAGCACACUCACUAAGACAAUUACACCGAAGACAUGGUUAUGCUGGUGGCAAUAUCAGAGGUGCUGUUGCUUCUGGGAUUGGCAGUGGAGUCAGAUUCCCUCUGCACACCCACCAUCUUUUACAAGAACUGCUGGAUCCGACGCUUUCCUGGUCUUCUGAUCGACCUGCAGGAAUCACAGAAGAGAGGAGCCCAGGUGCUGAGGAUUUAUGCAGAAGUCUCCUCCCAGCAGUGCAGUAGAACCUGCUGCCUUCAGAGGAAUGGUGAGUGUUUAUUAUCAAGACUGUGUCAUAGAUAAAAACAAAACAAAGAAGGAUAUAUACAGUUUAGUUUUUGAGGCAGGAAAGCAGGGGCACAUGGUAACUGUUCUCUCAUCUUCAGUCCCAUAGAAAGGCAUUUGCUAAUCUGGUAUUUUUGGAAGUCCACACUUGGAACACGUGAAAAUUUUAGGAUCUGCUCUGACAUUUUAAAUUUCUAUUACAAAUUCUGUGGGCAAUAUUAAGAUAACUUUUCAAUAUCCAUCACCACCUACUCUUCUACAGAAAAAUUCUACUCCACUGUAAAUGGACACUGAUUACAUUAGGGCCCUUCUUUGGGAACGGGGGCGGGUUAGAAUCUUCACACAAGUCUGUCAUAUUUGGGUCUCCUUUCAGUUCCUACUAUAUUUUACAGCAGAAAUAUACUCUGAACACCUCAAUUUAUUUUUACUUUUGCUUGAAUUAUGAGUCAUUUUGAUAAUUAGGUGGCACCUUUUUCCUUUCUUUUGAAGAAUCUGAAGUCAAGAAGCAGGGGAAUCUCAUUCUGUGUGCUGGCAACACACUGGUACUCCCGGGUUUUUCAGCAAUUCAUGAAGUGCUACAAGGCAACUCAAAAAUGCAGUGAAUGCUCUUAGCAAUUAAAAUGUCUGGAAGAAUGAAGCAAGAAGUUUAAUUAUCUAAAUUAGCUUGUUUAAGGUACCAGGGUUAUAGCUACGCUUGCAAAAUGUGCCAUGAAAUACAUAAUAUUUAUUAGCUGGAUGUGGCUCUGGGCAGCCUGGUCUAGUGGUUGGUGACCCUGCACACAGCAAGGGGGUUCAAACUAGAUGAUCAUUAUGGUCCUUUGCAACCCAGGCCAUUCUAUGAGUCUAUGAUUCUGGUCCAGCUGAAGUAUAACAUCAGUAUGAGCAGUAAAACUGAGACAGUGGUUAUUUGGUUAGCUAUCCUUUUUUUUUCCUAGUGUUAAAAAGUGAGACUCAGAAUAAAAAUGAGAAAAUGCCAUUCCUUCUCUUAAACCCAAGACUAUACUUUCCCUAUAUCACAUUCCUUUUGUAUACAGUGUGUAUUUUAAGAGUGUACCUGAUGCGUGUGCCUGUAGUGCCUAAAUUUGACUGCAAAGCGCACAGUACUCAAAAAGUUUUUCAAUAUGGGAGAUCAAAGUGAGCUACCUGUUAUUAAAUACAAAAAAAUAUAUGAAUUUUGAUGAAAUUUUAAUUAUGAGCGUGGUUUUGUCCUUGAAAAUCUGGCACCAAGUCAACUAACCUAAUGGCCAUCAGCAUUCCUGUGAGGAGUCAACUUCUGUUUAAAAUAGGGUGAAAAAAGAAUAAUUAUAAACAGUUUAGUAACAUUUUUUCCUUUUUGGACAACUACCUUUUUGGUCAUAAAACAUGAGACUAGGUGUGUAAUGAAGGUAAGUAAUGGUAAUUGGAGCCUUGUUUUUGUAAUCUUUCACAAUCAAGUGCAGACUUGUUAUAACCUUAACUGAAGUACAGAGAUAUCAAAUGGCAUUUCAUAAAUAUGCUUUAAAUCAGAUUGUGAUUUCCAUACAGUCCCAAAGAGACAGAUGUAGUCUACCACAGAUAUUGUAGUCUACCACAGUCUACCACCAAUAAAUGUCCUAAUUAAGACUUCAAGAAAUAUUGACGAUUGGUAAGACUGUCUUCUUUGCUGGAUUCUCAGUAAUAGGACAGCUACUGAAAGGUAAUCUUACAAGAUAGAAAUAAAUUCUGAAAUAAUUUAAAAACAAACAAUAGCAUAGUUGGCUUGUACCUCUUCAAGAUGAUGCAAAAUAUCUCAUAGCAUGCUUUUUACAUAUUUUUCCUGACCAAAGAACUAUUUUUUCUCACCCCAAAAAUAGGUUUGUGACUUACUUUUCUUACUCAAUUUUACACAAUAAAAUCUAACACAUAUACCAAAAAAUACUUCCUCAAAAGCCAAUUUCUUCAGAAGAUAUUUUUUUUCUUUUUUAAUAUUAAUGAUAUUUUCAUAAAGCGUGUAAACUAAUCAUUAUGAUGAAAAACUUUUAGAAUUAUGUUGUGCCAAAAAUAUGAGUUUCUAACAACAACAGAACUUUGAACAAACUUUGAAGAUAGGAAAGGACUUGAAAUCUAACUCCUCCCUUAAGAUAAAUGCAUGUAUUUUCAGGUAUCUUCUAUUUUCUUAACUAAGAAUUUAUAUCCCUGCAAUAUAUCACCAAACCUACAUAAUGUUCAUGUAUCAUACUGAAAAACAAGUAUAAAAAAUACAGAUAGUACAAAAUGUCAAUUCUUCAACAAAAUCCAGAACACUGAGUACUUGGGUUUCAAGGCAAUGUUCUAUGCUGCUACAACACACAAGGAAAGUGAAGAACAAUUUUCUGUUGGAAAAAAAAUAAUCACUGUGAGCAAAUAUCAGAAAAUUUUUGUUUUAAAACAAUGACAAUAUUCAUAAUAUUCUAUUUUUAGUGUUUCCAGAGUGUUUAACAUUCUUUCAGCAAAAGAUAUCACAGAAAAGCAACUACUACAUAGAUACUUCAUAGAAAUAUUUGAAGGCCUUUGUUAUUUUUAUUGUUAACUAAAAAUGAUACAAAAUGUUUACUGAUGACUACAACUGUUUAUAUAUAUAUAUAUUUUAUCUGUAUGUCUAUAUUUUUAUUUUUAUUUUUUGUCUGUUUGUCUAAAUGUCUAUAGUUCUCAGGAAGUACCUCAAAGUGUACUUGUUUUCUGAACACUACAAUAUGCUUGUAAUCUUCUAAAGAAAAAUGUAAACUAAUUGGUACAUAAUGGAGUCAGGGUUUUGUGUAGUCCUUGUAAAGUAUCAUUCUGUAUCUGACAAGCACUGUCCUUCUAUUGCUUUAAAUAGCCAUAACUUUCUUUGUACCAAUUCUACUGUUGUAAAAGUCUUCUCUGAGCUCAGCUGCUAGUUUGAUAACUGGAAACUGAUGAAGCCUAGUUAGAGAUAAAAGAUGGACUCAGUGAAAGAAAAACUGUUGUUCGACCUCUUUGAUUUACAUUCAAUAUCUAGUGAUGACUUUACACUAUUCAUUACAGCUUAGGAUCCCAGUUGUUCUUGUAAGUAUUACUAUUUUUGUUUCAGCUAUGCAGACAACUUUGAUUACUUAAUGCAAGUAGGUAAAAAACAUGGUACAAUAUACAUUCAGUAACAGCACUUCUACAGUGCUUUUUUUAUUCCACAAAGCUGCUGAAUUUGUAUUCUUCAGACAGAGUGCAUUUUCAUUGCAAAUUUUUAAUCUUAUGGUAUACAUCUUUUGAAAGCAGUGUUCAUCUCUGACAUCUGAUAUGUUCAUUAUGAUGGAAAAUUUUCUAGCUAUAUAUGCAGUGUUAUUCAAUGCAGUAUUUAGAUUACUAACUCAAAAAAUACAGUGAAUACAGAAAAGAUAGUAAGGGUGGGUAGAGAGCAUGUUCUUUCUUUUUCUCAUUUGUUGAUAAGAUAGGGUUAUUUUUUAGUUACACAUGCAAUGGGAAGAGAAAAAAGUUGCAUUACUUUUCCACUGAAUAAAUAUUACAAGUUACUAUCAUUACUUAGAAAUAUAAGGUAAUAUUUAGAAUAAAUACCAAAGUAAAUGGAAAAUAUUUUAAAGCUAAGUAGUUUCUUAACAAUUCAUGUAAAAUAAAGCUUUUCUAUUACUGUCUUGACACCAUUAUCCUGCAACUAGAAUGAUUUUUUUAUAUUAAAAACAGACAGACAAAAAGAGAAAAAAGCACAAUUAUGUUGCAAUCAUUUGCUUAAAGCAAUAGUUCACUAUUUCACAUUUUCUUAAAAGUUAUGUAAGCAUCUAAUCUUAAAAGAUCAUUUCAUUCACAACUUUCCAAAUUUUCCAAGGGAAGAUGGUUUCAAGCUCAAAGAGGGUAAGUUUAGGUUAGAUAUAAGGAAGAAGUCUUUUACAGUGAAGGUGAUGAGGCACUGGAAUGGGUUGCCCAGAGAUGUGGUGGAUUCCCCAUCCCCAGAGACUUUCAAAGCCAGGCUGGACCAGUCCCUCAGCAACUUGGUCUAGCUGUGGAUGUCCCUAUUCACUGCAGAGAAGUUGGACUAAAUGACCUUUAAAUGUCCCUUCCGACUCUAAGGAUUCUAUGAUUCUACUCUAUGAUUUUCUGAAGUGCUAAGCCUUGAGAAUCAAAGUCAGUAUCAAAAAUUUUUCCUUUGGUUUUUAAAUAAUUUACAGUAUUUUCUGCUGUUGAAUGUGUCACCUGCCCUGCCAAUACUUUUUCUGUAGUCAAAAAAAUUCAAGUCUACAUUCAGGACACAUGAAAAAAAUUAUAAAACUUCACAUGACUAAACAAAAAUUAACACUGAUCCUACUCCAAGCACAGUGAUAUAAAAUAAAUUCAACUUGUUACUUGAUAUUUUUACUUCUAGUAUAACAUUUACCUUGAGUAUUGAAGCAUAUAUACGAGCACAUAAUAUAACAUUUUCAAAAGCAUUUCAUUAAAUUGACUUCUACAUCCCCAUUUUCAUGCUUACAGCUAUCUUAAACCACUAGGAUUCAGGUAUUUAUAUAGAUAUAUAUUUAUAUAUAUUUAUACAGAAAUUUAGUUCUCAGUGACGCUUUCCUCAGGUGGUAAGAGAGAAGCUAGUCUCCAAAUACAGAUGAUGGAUUGUCUUAAAUAUUAUAUUCACAGAAAUAAAUAGCCCAAAGCCAAACAAGAUAAAGCAAGGCAGGAUGCCAGUUACAUAUUGUAGUUCAGGAUACACCAGCUGAUGAGUGUUUAAUAGUUUGAGUGAAAAAAAUGUUUCCUGUCCAGUUUCAAGUAGACAGGUAUCAAUUGCACAAGAGCAAACACCUCAAACUUGCACUGACUGAUUUACUUUUAGAAAUAGUCCAAUCACUGCAAUAAAGAUAUAAAGGAAAGGUAAGAGAGGACUGCAGGCUACAGCAUAUGGUUUUAUUUAUUCUGAGAAUUCAUUUAGAAUUCAUUUGGCUAUUCUUUUCAUCUUCUCUAGGUGUAAAAUAUGAAUAUAGUUACAAGUUGUUCUACUUUUAUGACUAGGUGCCUAAGAAGUUUGCAUGAUAAUGAGAGAAUCACCGAUUUUAUAUACUGUGCAACUACUCAGUAUUAAUAUUUCUUUCAAUGUUAAAUAAUGAACUUAGGUCACUCUGAAAGUAAUGCCUCCUAUUAAUUUCCAUGGAAAUUACAACAGAUACAAAGAGCACUAUAACACUAUUUCAUAGAGCAAAUGCUCAACUACAAAACACUGUUUUUCAGCUUAGUUAUCACCACCACUGGCUAUGCAUUUUUGCCAGCAAGAGCCUGCAUGCCACACUCAUAAAAAUCUGCACUAGUGAAGUUGACCCACUGUUUCACAGCUGCAAUGACAGUGUGAUUGCUAGGAAAAUGCUUCCCAUGCAGUCCAUCUUCCAUGAGCCCAAACAGAUGGAAUUCAGAAUAUGCCAAAUCUGGACUGUACAGUGGGUAUGGUAGGACAGUUCAGCCAAGACUCUUUGUAUUUCUUGUGUGAGCAUUUGUGGGACCCACCUGGUGCAAACUUUGUGAUAUUCCAACAUUACCACCACUGUUUCCAGUGCACUGAAGCCAAUGUUUAGUUCCAUACAUGAUUCCAUGGUUGUAAUCUGCCAAUUGACAUGGAUGAGCUGGUCAAGAAACUCCUCAUUCCAUGGUAGGACAGCUGUGCAUGGCUGUCUGGAAUGUAGCUUGUCUUUAACAUUGCUGUCACCAUUACUGAGACAAACUACUACUUUCUCACCAAGCUAACAUCCAUUGUUUGGUCUCCAUAAACAUACUGUGUGUUACAGUGUGAUGAAUGUCAAUGUGUGCCAUUUUUUCUGCAUGGAGGAAUUCAAUUCUACACCUUUGCUUCAUACCCACUUCCAUGUCAGACACCAUUUUGUCAGACUACCCCUCUGCGGCCAUCAGUCACAUAGCAACUGCCACAUCACUAACAUCCUCCUCUGAUGUCAUGAGUCAACAUAUUAGGAGGCAUUACUUUCAGAGAAG
rnacentral:lncRNA from 1 species